GACGAACGCUGGCGGCGUGCUUAACACAUGCAAGUCGAACGGAAAGGCCCUGCUUUUGUGGGGUGCUCGAGUGGCGAACGGGUGAGUAACACGUGAGUAACCUGCCCUUGACUUUGGGAUAACUUCAGGAAACUGGGGCUAAUACCGGAUAGGAGCUCUCGCUGCAUGGUGGGGGUUGGAAAGUUUCGGCGGUUCGGGAUGGUCUCGAGGCGUAUCAGCUUGUUGGUGGGGUAGUGGCUUACCAAGUGUCUGACGGGUAGCCGGCUUGAGAGGGUGACCGGCGACAUUGGGACUGAGAUACGGCGCAGACGCCUACGGGAGGCAGCAGGGGGGAAUAUUGCACAAUAGGCGGAAGCCUGAUGCAGCAACGCCGCGUGCGGGAUGACGGCCUACGGGGUGUAAACCGCUUUCGCCUGUGACGAAGCGUGAGUGACGGUAAUGGGUAAAGAAGCACCGGCUAACUACGUG
rnacentral:rRNA from 1 species